rnacentral:rRNA from 1 species
GGGCGCAAGCCUGAUGCAGCAACGCCGCGUGAGGGAUGACGGCCUUCGGGUUGUAAACCUCUUUUAGCAGGGAAGAAGCGAGAGUGACGGUACCUGCAGAAAAAGCGCCGGCUAACUACGUGCCAGCAGCCGCGGUAAUACGUAGGGCGCAAGCGUUAUCCGGAAUUAUUGGGCGUAAAGAGCUCGUAGGCGGUUUGUCGCGUCUGCUGUGAAAUCCCGAGGCUCAACCUCGGGCCUGCAGUGGGUACGGGCAGACUAGAGUGCGGUAGGGGAGAUUGGAAUUCCUGGUGUAGCGGUGGAAUGCGCAGAUAUCAGGAGGAACACCGAUGGCGAAGGCAGAUCUCUGGGCCGUAACUGACGCUGAGGAGCGAAAGGGUGGGGAGCAAACAGGCUUAGAUACCCUGGUAGUCCACCCCGUAAACGUUGGGAACUAGUUGUGGGGUCCUUUCCACGGAUUCCGUGACGCAGCUAACGCAUUAAGUUCCCCGCCUGGGGAGUACGGA